GAACGAUGAUCCCUAGCUUGCUGGGGGGAUUAGUGGCGAACGGGUGAGUAACACGUGAGUAACCUGCCCUUGACUCUGGGAUAAGCCUGGGAAACUGGGUCUAAUACUGGAUAUGACUGACUAUCGCAUGGUGGUUGGUGGAAAGCUUUUGUGGUUUUGGAUGGACUCGCGGCCUAUCAGCUUGUUGGUGGGGUAAUGGCCUACCAAGGCGACGACGGGUAGCCGGCCUGAGAGGGUGGACGGCCACACUGGGACUGAGACACGGCCCAGACUCCUACGGGAGGCAGCAGUGGGGAAUAUUGCACAAUGGGCGCAAGCCUGAUGCAGCGACGCCGCGUGAGGGAUGAAGGCCUUCGGGUUGUAAACCUCUUUCAGUAGGGAAGAAGCGAAAGUGACGGUACCUGCAGAAGAAGCGCCGGCUAACUACGUGCCAGCAGCCGCGGUAAUACGUAGGGCGCAAGCGUUAUCCGGAAUUAUUGGGCGUAAAGAGCUCGUAGGCGGUUUGUCGCGUCUGCCGUGAAAGUCCGGGGCUUAACUCCGGAUCUGCGGUGGGUACGGGCAGACUUGAGUGAUGUAGGGGAGACUGGAAUUCCUGGUGUAGCGGUGAAAUGCGCAGAUAUCAGGAGGAACACCGAUGGCGAAGGCAGGUCUCUGGGCAUUAACUGACGCUGAGGAGCGAAAGCAUGGGGAGCGAACAGGAUUAGAUACCCUGGUAGUCCAUGCCGUAAACGUUGGGCACUAGGUGUGGGGGACAUUCCACGUUUUCCGCGCCGUAGCUAACGCAUUAAGUGCCCCGCCUGGGGAGUACGGCCGCAAGGCUAAAACUCAAAGGAAUUGACGGGGGCCCGCACAAGCGGCGGAGCAUGCGGAUUAAUUCGAUGCAACGCGAAGAACCUUACCAAGGCUUGACAUGAACCGGAACGGCGCAGAGAUGUGUCGGCCACUUGUGGCCGGUUUACAGGUGGUGCAUGGUUGUCGUCAGCUCGUGUCGUGAGAUGUUGGGUUAAGUCCCGCAACGAGCGCAACCCUCGUUCCAUGUUGCCAGCGGGUUAUGCCGGGGACUCAUGGGAAGACUGCCGGGGUCAACUCGGAGGAAGGUGGGGACGACGUCAAAUCAUCAUGCCCCUUAUGUCUUGGGCUUCACGCAUGCUACAAUGGCCGGUACAAAGGGUUGCGAUGCUGUGAGGUGGAGCUAAUCCCAAAAAGCCGGUCUCAGUUCGGAUUGAGGUCUGCAACUCGACCUCAUGAAGUCGGAGUCGCUAGUAAUCGCAGAUCAGCAACGCUGCGGUGAAUA
rnacentral:rRNA from 1 species